AUUGAACGCUGGCGGCAGGCCUAACACAUGCAAGUCGAACGAGUGGCGGACGGGUGCGUAAGGUCUGGGAAACUGCCCGAUGGCGGGGGUUACCUACUGGAAACGGUAGCUAAUACCGCAUACCAUCGGAUGUGCCCAGAUGGGAUUAGCGAGUAGGUGGGGUAACGGCUCACCUAGGCGACGAUCCCUAGCUGGACUGAGAGGAUGACCGGCCACACUGGAACUGGGACACGGUCCAGACUCCUACGGGAGGCAGCAGUGGGGAAUAUUGCACAAUGGGCGCAAGCCUGAUGCAGCCAUGCCGCGUGUAUGAAGAAGGCCUUCGGGUUGUAAAGUACUUUCAGCGAGGAGGCGUUACUCGCAGAAGAAGCACCGGCUAACUCCGUGCCAGCAGCCGCGGUAAUUC
rnacentral:rRNA from 1 species